rnacentral:sRNA from 1 species
AGUUUGCGUGAGGGAUAGCAGUGGAAAGCCCACAGACCAAUGGAGUGAUAACGGAAUUGGUCGAGGACUUGUAGCGAAUAGCCCGACCCGAC